rnacentral:rRNA from 1 species
CGUGCUACCAUGCAGUCGAGCGGUAAGGCCCUUCGGGGUACACGAGCGGCGAACGGGUGAGUAACACGUGGGUAACCUGCCCUGUACUCUGGGAUAAGCCUGGGAAACUAGGUCUAAUACCGGAUAUGACUCCACUAGGCAUCUUGUGGGGUGGAAAGUUCCGGCGGUACAGGAUGGACCCGCGGCCUAUCAGCUUGUUGGUGGGGUAAUGGCCUACCAAGGCGACGACGGGUAGCCGGCCUGAGAGGGUGACCGGCCACACUGGGACUGAGACACGGCCCAGACUCCUACGGGAGGCAGCAGUGGGGAAUAUUGCACAAUGGGCGAAAGCCUGAUGCAGCGACGCCGCGUGAGGGAUGACGGCCUUCGGGUUGUAAACCUCUUUCAGCGGGGACGAAGGGCAACUGACGGUACCCGCAGAAGAAGCACCGGCUAACUACGUGCCAGCAGCCGCGGUAAUACGUAGGGUGCGAGCGUUGUCCGGAAUUAUUGGGCGUAAAGAGCUCGUAGGCGGUUUGUUGCGUCGGCUGUGAAAACUUCACGCUUAACGUGGAGCCUGCAGUCGAUACGGGCAGACUUGAGUUCGGCAGGGGAGACUGGAAUUCCUGGU